UUGAGCCCUUGGUGUGUCACCGCAUGUGCUUGGCGUGUUCGGGGUCCCUGCUGUGUCACCGCGUGUGCUUGGUGUGUUAGCACGUGGCUUUGGGGGGUUCCUGUGGCCCUGGGGUGUUCUGGGUCCUCGGCGUGUCACCGCGUGUGCUUGGCGUGUUCUGAGUCCUUGGUGUGUCACCACAUGUUCUUAGUGUGUGUUUGAGUCCUUGGUGUGUCACCGCGUGUGCUUGGUGUGUGUUUGAGUCCUUGGAGUGUCACUGUGUGUUCUUAGUGUGUUCUGAGUCCUUGGUGUGUCACCGCGUGUGCUUGGUGUGUUUUUGGGUCCUUGGUGUGUCACCACGUGUGCUUGGCGUGUGUUUGAGUCCUUGGUGUGUCAGCACAUGUCCUUGGUGUGUCAGCACAUGUGAUUGAUGUGUUCUGGGUCCUUGGUGUGUCACCGCGUGUGCUUGCUGUGUGUUUGAGUCCUCAGUGUGUCACCGCGUGUUCUUAGUGUGUGUUUGAGUCCUUGCUGUGUCACCACAUGUCUUUGGUGUGUCCCUGUGGCCCUGGCGUGUUCUGAGCCCUUGGUGUGUCACUCUGUGUGCUUGGCAUGUUAUCACCUGUGCUUGGUGUGUUCUGGGUCCUUGGUGUGUCACCGCGUGUGCUUGGUGUGUUCUGAGCCCUUGGUGUGUCACCACAUGUCCUUGGGGUGUCAGCACGUGUUCUUAGUGUGUGUUUGAGUCCUUGGUGUGUUCUGGGUCCUUGGUGUGUCACCGCGUGUUCUUAGUGUGUGUUUGAGUCCUUGGUGUGUCACCACAUGUCCUUGGUGUGUCCCUGUGGCCCUGGCGUGUUCUGAGCCCUUGGUGUGCCACUCUGUGUGCUUGGCAUGUUAUCACCUGUGCUUGGUGUGUGUUCUGGGUCCUUGGUGUGUUACCACCUGUGCUUGGUGUGUGUUCUGAGUCCUUGGUGUGUCACCGCGUGUGCUUGGUGUGUUUUUGGGUCCUUGGUGUGUCACUGCGUGUGCUUGGCAUGUUAUCACCUGUGCUUGGUGUGUUCUGGGUCCUUGGUGUGUUACCACCUGUGCUUGGUGUGUUUUUGGGUCCUUGGUGUGUCACCGCGUGUGCUUGGUGUGUGUUUGAGUCCUUGGUGUGUCACCGCGUGUGCUUGGCAUGUCAGCACGUGUGAUUGUUGUGUUCUGAGUCCUUGGUGCAUCAGCAAGUGUGCUUGGCAUGUUCUGGGUCCUUGGUGUGUCACCACAUGUUCUUAGUGUGUUUUUGAGUCCCUGGUGCGUCAGCACGUGUGCUUGGCGUGUUCUGGAUCCUUGACGUGUCAAUACGUGUGAUUGAUGUGUUCUGGGUCCUUGGUGUGUCACCACAUGUUCCUUGGCGUGUCAGCACGUGUGCUUGGCGUGUUCUGAGUCCUUGGGGUGUCACCACAUGUCUUUAGAGUGUCAGCACGUGUGCCUGAAGUGUUAACACGUGUGCUUGGUGUGUUUUGGGUCCUGGGUGUGUCAUCGCAUGUGCUUGGCGUGUUCUGAGUCCUUAGUUUGUCGCCACAUGUGCUUGGCGUGUUCUGAGCCUUCGGUGUGUCACCACAUGUCUUUGGUGUGUUCCUGUGGCCCUGGUGUGUUCUGUGGCCUUGGUGUGUCAGCACAUGUGCUUAGCGUGUUCUGGGUCCCUGGUGUGUCAGCACAUGUGCUUAGCGUGUUAUUACCUGUGUUUGGCGUGUUCCAAAUCCCAGCUGUGUCACCGUGUGUGCUUGGUGUGUUACCACAUGUGCUCAGUGUGUUCUGAGUCCUUUGACACGUCGUCACAUGUCCUUGGCGUGUUCUGAGUCCUUGACGUGUCACCACAUGUCCUUGGCAUGUUCCAAAUCCUGGGUGUGUCACUGCGUGUGCCUGGCAUGUUCCGAGCCCUUGACGUGUCACCACAUGUCCUUGGUGUGUUCUGAGUCCUUUGACACG
ensembl:lncRNA